rnacentral:rRNA from 1 species
CGGAGGGUGCGAGCGUUGUUCGGAAUUACUGGGCGUAAGGCGCGUGCAGGCGGCCGACUAAGUCCGGUGUGAAAGCCCGGGGCUCACCUCCGGAAGUGCGCUGGAAACUAGUCGGCUAGAGUACGGGAGAGGGAAGUGGAAUUUCCUGGUGUAGCGGUGAAAUGCGUAGAUAUCAGGAGGAACACCGGCGGCGAAGGCGGCUUCCUGGACCGAUACUGACGCUGAGACGCGAAAGCGUGGGGAGCAAACAGGAUUAGAUACCCUGGUAGUCCACGCUGUAAACGAUGGGUACUAGGUGUCGCGGGUGUUGACCCCUGCGGUGCCGCAGCUAACGCAUUAAGACCCCGCCUGGGGAUUACGGCGCAAGAUUA